GACGAACGCUGGCGGCGUGCCUAAUACAUGCAAGUAGAACGCUGAAGGAGGAGCUUGCUUCUCUGGAUGAGUUGCGAACGGGUGAGUAACGCGUAGGUAACCUGCCUGGUAGCGGGGGAUAACUAUUGGAAACGAUAGCUAAUACCGCAUAAGAGUAGAUGUUGCAUGACAUUUACUUAAAAGGUGCAAUUGCAUCACUACCAGAUGGACCUGCGUUGUAUUAGCUAGUUGGUGGGGUAACGGCUCACCAAGGCGACGAUACAUAGCCGACCUGAGAGGGUGAUCGGCCACACUGGGACUGAGACACGGCCCAGACUCCUACGGGAGGCAGCAGUAGGGAAUCUUCGGCAAUGGACGGAAGUCUGACCGAGCAACGCCGCGUGAGUGAAGAAGGUUUUCGGAUCGUAAAGCUCUGUUGUAAGAGAAGGACGAGUGUGAGAGUGGAAAGUUCACACUGUGACGGUAUCUUACCAGAAAGAGACGGCUAACUACGUG
rnacentral:rRNA from 1 species